UACGAAGGGUGCAAGCGUUACUCGGAAUUACUGGGCGUAAAGCGUGCGUAGGUGGUUGUUUAAGUCUGUUGUGAAAGCCCUGGGCUCAACCUGGGAACUGCAGUGGAAACUGGAUGACUAGAGUGUGGUAGAGGGUAGCGGAAUUCCCGGUGUAGCAGUGAAAUGCGUAGAGAUCGGGAGGAACAUCCAUGGCGAAGGCAGCUACCUGGACCAACACUGACACUGAGGCACGAAAGCGUGGGGAGCAAAC
rnacentral:rRNA from 1 species